CUUUGACUCUGAUUUCAUUUUCUAGGGAAACAAACAAAAGGUAUCACCGAUUGCAAGAAGAAACUGCACAUUAAUUGAUCCAUGAUGAUAUGACCAUGCCACCUUAUCUUAUUCCCAAAUGGUGUGCACGGUUGAUGCAGUAGUGAUUGAUAGCAAGUUCAUGGAGCAAUUUGAUUAUUUGAUGGUAAACAGUAAUUUUGUUGAUUUUCUAUGGCCAUCGGAUCAAGAUCAAAACAGCCAUAUUCAAUCCAAAAUAGCUCAACAUGUACAACUCACUCCCAUGUAGUGACCUCUUAGAUUUUGAGUGAAUUCCAUCACCAGAUCUAUAAAUUAGGAAAUUUGUAUAUUUGGAAAGAUUUUUGAAUACUUGAUUUUAGGAUUUAAACAAAUCCAUUUCAUGUUUUUUUCUAAAAAAGCUUUUUUUAUAUUCUUAGAUUAGAAAUUUGAGCUUUAACUCAAACAUUUUUUUUUUUUUUAAGUUUUCGGCUUUGUUUAAUCUUGGCAUAGUCACCAAACAUUGUUG